rnacentral:ncRNA from 2 species
CGACCAUCCAGAGCAGCUAAGAGACCUGGCUCGAUGACGCUGCAGCAACCCCCGGUCACGGAGAGGGUGCUUCCGCCAGGACCGAUGGAGG